rnacentral:lncRNA from 1 species
AGUGACCGUGUUUUUGUCUGUGCUUAGACAAAAUUUCAAAGUAGAUUUGCUAUGUCUCACUUUAUCAGGCUCUCUGUAACCAUAUCUUACCUUGUUGAAUCCUCAAGUUUGAUGACUUUGUCUAGCCUUCCAAUUUGGCUCCUGAAGCAUUGGUGUCAUUGAUUCACAGCCCAGAAGCUGGGAGUAAUGUCUGCUGCAGAUUUCUGUAUUGUUUCCGUAAUGAAGCUGACAGCAGCAUAAUAUCCGUAGCCUGUGCUAAGAUAGGAGUUGGGUGUCAUGCUGACGUCAGGCAGU